GCCGGGGUGGCGGAACCAGGUAACGCGCUAGACUCGAGAUCUAGUGAGCUUCGGCUUGUGCGAGUUCAAAUCUCGUCCCCGGCG
rnacentral:tRNA from 2 species